UAUUUUCAUACAAAUGUGCAGUAUACACUUUAAGCCGUGUUUUGUGGUAGGUCACAUCAUAUAUCCCUGGCUGCCCUUGGCUGGCUUGAACUCACAGAAAUCCACCUACCUCCUGUGUGCUGGGAUUAAAGAUCGGAACAGACGGCUUGGACUGGGACAAACACAGCUUUGCAAAGCUAGAGUCAUCUGAGAAGAGGGAAUCCAGUUGGGGAACUGCCUCCAUCAAAUUGUCUUGUACGCAAGUCUGUGAGGUAUUUCUUCAUUCAUGAUUGAUCUGGAGGGCCCAGCCUGUUGAGAGUGAUGCUAUACCUGGGCAGGUAGCAGGAGAAGGAAGAG